UGCUUUUCAACUAUUUUGGGUGGAAGAGAGGCCAGAAAGAGUAUCCACAUACCCACUUAGUAGAUAACCCUUCAAAGGAGAUGCUGCCUACCUAAUCAGCUGUUCUGUAUGUUUUUUAACUUUUAUGUCAACAGGCUGUAUGUGCACUGCUGGUUUUGAAACUGAGAAAGAGAGCUAAAUGUACAGAAUCCACAUGAUCGCAUGGACUUUUCCUGCCACAGGCUCUGAAACCAAACUAGAAAUGCUCAAGAGGAGGCACUUCCUGGAAGCAAAAACAUAUGCCCUUUAGACUUGCAGGUGAUUAUGAGAAGAAAGCAAUGGCAGACUUGACAGAGUCUGCCAUUGAAGAGUCAUGUGAAGAGUCUCCAUACUAGCAGCAAUCUGUCAUCUUCAGACCCUUUGGUUAUUGGAUGAAGAAAGUACAACAGGGGGUGAGAACUCGGGAGUUCUUUCUAAGUGGAGAAAAACCAGAUUCUGUAACACCUGUGUGCGACUCUACAGAGUAGAUAAUGUGUGGGCUCCUACCAAAUAAGAUGAAUAAUAAUAAUAAUAAAAAUAUUUAAACCAGGACA
rnacentral:lncRNA from 1 species